rnacentral:rRNA from 1 species
UACGAAGGGGGCUAGCGUUGUUCGGAAUCACUGGGCGUAAAGCGCACGCAGGCGGAUUGAUAAGUCAGGGGUGAAAUCCCGGGGCUCAACCUCGGAAUUGCCUUUGAUACUGUCUAUCUUGAGUUCGGGAGAGGUUGGCGGAAUUCCUAGUGUAGAGGUGAAAUUCGUAGAUAUUAGGAAGAACACCAGUGGCGAAGGCGGCCAACUGGCCCGAUACUGACGCUCAUGUGCGAAAGCGUGGGGAGCAAACGGG